CUUUUACAAUGAAGAGUUUGAUCCUGGCUCAGGAUGAACGCUAGCUACAGGCUUAACACAUGCAAGUCGAGGGG
rnacentral:rRNA from 8 species